rnacentral:rRNA from 1 species
UACGUAGGGUGCGAGCGUUGUCCGGAAUUAUUGGGCGUAAAGAGCUCGUAGGUGGUUUGUCGCGUUGUUCGUGAAAACUCACAGCUUAACUGUGGGCGUGCGGGCGAUACGGGCAGACUUGAGUACUGCAGGGGAGACUGGAAUUCCUGGUGUAGCGGUGGAAUGCGCAGAUAUCAGGAGGAACACCGAUGGCGAAGGCAGUUCUCUGGGCCGUAACUGACGCUGAGGAGCGAAAGCGUGGGGAGCGAACAGG